UACGUAGGGUGCAAGCGUUGUCCGGAAUUAUUGGGCGUAAAGAGCGUGUAGGCGGUUUGUCGCGUCUGCUGUGAAAUUUCGGGGCUCAACCCCGAACUUGCAGUGGGUACGGGCAGACUAGAGUGUGGUAGGGGAGACUGGAAUUCCUGGUGUAGCGGUGAAAUGCGCAGAUAUCAGGAGGAACACCGGUGGCGAAGGCGGGUCUCUGGGCCGUAACUGACGCUGAGGCACGAAAGCGUGGGGAGCAAACAGG
rnacentral:rRNA from 1 species